rnacentral:lncRNA from 1 species
AAAAACCACAGAUUUCUGACUCCCACCUCCUAUCAAAUAGGAGGUACCACUAGAUAAGGUAGACUAGGUCAAAUGACCUAGUCAAACAAGGAAACUAUGGGGCAUCCAACUCUUGGACACCCCUUCCCUUAUUAUCUACAUGGAGAUCAGGAAACCACACACAAAAGAGGUGACAAAAAGAAAAGAUAGGCAUGGAGAAAGUUGGCACAAGAGAGGGGAGAGG